AUUGAACGCUGGCGGCAGGCUUAACACAUGCAAGUCGAGCGGGGAAGGGUAGCUUGCUACCUAACCUAGCGGCGGACGGGUGAGUAAUGCUUAGGAAUCUGCCAUUUAGUGGGGGACAACAUUCCGAAAGGAAUGCUAAUACCGCAUACGUCCUACGGGAGAAAGCAGGGGAUCUUCGGACCUUGCGCUAAAUGAUGAGCCUAAGUCGGAUUAGCUAGUUGGUGGGGUAAAGGCCUACCAAGGCGACGAUCUGUAGCGGGUCUGAGAGGAUGAUCCGCCACUGGGACUGAGACACGGCCCAGACUCCUACGGGAGGCAGCAGUGGGGAAUAUUGGACAAUGGGCGGAAGCCUGAUCCAGCCAUGCCGCGUGUGUGAAGAAGGCCUUAUGGUUGUAAAGCACUUUAAGCGAGGAGGAGGCUACCUAGAUUAAUACUCUAGGAUAGUGGACGUUACUCGCAGAAUAAGCACCGGCUAACUCUGUGCCAGCCGCCGCUGUAAUAC
rnacentral:rRNA from 1 species